rfam:Rattus norvegicus chromosome 5, whole genome shotgun sequence.
GGGGAUUUAGCUCAGUGGUAGAGCGCUUGCCUAGCAAGCACAAGACCCUGGGUUCAGUCCCCAGCUCCG